rnacentral:rRNA from 1 species
UACGGCGGCCAUGGCGAAGGGGAAACACCCGGUAACAUUCCGAACCCGGAAGUUAAGCCCUUCAGCGCCGAUGGUACUGCACGGGAGACUGUGUGGGAGAGUAGGACGCCGCCGGACA